AAGAUGGCUACGCUUACGACUCAAGAAUUGCUGGGUAGGGCCAGAGAGCGGAUGGAGGAUCAGAUGGAGCCUGGAGAGAGAGAGAGGGAGUGGAGUAGGAUGCAGCGGUAUUUGAAGAGAUGGCAGGAGAAGGGAUGGUUUCCCACGGUGUCGCCACCAGCAGUUGAAGACAGGCGUAAGGUGUGGAGGGAGACUGUAAAAGCGAAAAAUCAAGCCACUACGGCUUAUAUAGGAGCAGGCCGUGUGGGUAGAAUGAGUAGAAGAAAAACUCUAGACAAAGAGGAGAAGAGGUGUGCCCGCACCAAGCGGCUGCUUGCCUAUUGGAAGGCAGUCGACCCCACCACCCCUAAAUCUGCUGUGGGACUCCCAGAGGAGGAGGAUGAAGAAGUAAAAAGCAAGCCCAGUCAACCCACCACCCCCCUCAGUCCCAGCUCCCAUACCGUCCCUCGACUGUACCCAGGCGUGGAGCCAGCUCCUCAGGAGAGGCCAAGUCUUCCGCCGCCGUAUAAGAAAACAACCUCCAAAAUUCCCCUGGUGAAGCCGAGUAUUCAAGCACCUGUGUACCGCGUGAGAGGAGGAACGGUGGACGUGGAAAGUGACGAAGAAGACUUGGGAGGUAGGUACUUCACAGGUGCGAAAACGAUGCACACGCUGGAUGAAGUAAGAGGAGAAGAGGAGGAAAGCUGUUCUGACCACGCAGAUUCACAAAACCAGGGCGAAGAGGAGGACCUGAUUGUGACAAGUGGACUCCUGCAUGUCACAACAAGUGGAUCUAGAGCCCGAAAAGAUGGCAGCAGAGAAGAAGGUGCUGUGGGAGGACAUCCUCCCCGUAGACGCUCUACUAGGACAAAGACGACUCCACACCGCUAUGCAGACUACAUUCUCCCGGUAAGAAGUGAGCUGCCUGCAGCCUCCCCUGUCACACAGUGUCCACUUCUGAGAAAAGCCAACGGUCAGAGAGAGUUUGUGCCCUGGGGCCAUCGGGACAUGGAAGCUCUGGAGAAGGCGUUGCCGCCAUUGGGAGAAGGAGCUAACCCAUGGAUCUUGACCUUUGAAACACAAACGACGGCAGAUAAAUUGGCGCUUGGUGAUGUGCGAGCUUUAGUAGCCCGUCUGGAGGGAACUGUCAAUUUGAGAGCCUUGGAAGUAAGAUCAGGCACAACAGACUUAGAAGAUGAUGAUCCAUUCGACGGUCACAGAGGAGCUUUCUGGGAAGCGAUGCGAACGGUUUGGCCCACAAAGAUGAGCAUGACAGUCCUAGCCACAUUGGAGAUGAAGCCCGGCGAGGAGAUUUUCCAGUAUGUGCGGAGAGCCGAAACAGAAUGGCGCCUGGCGACAGGUGAAAGACAUGACAACAACAGACCUACCGCUGUGAUCUGGCGGCACACGGUGCAGCAAGGCUUGCCCGAGGCUGUACAGACAGCACUAGAGGGAGUAGUGGGACUGGACAACAUGGACGACACCACCUGGAAGGAUCAUCUGACCCACUUCUAUAAGAUACAUCGAGCUGCGGAGAAAAAGAGUAAGGAAGAAGUAGACAAAAUGGCGCAGCGGCUAGUAAAGGUUCAACUGGCCGGUGUAGACGAUGAAGCAAAUAGGAAAAAGCGAGCUAAAAAACAAUUGCCGGUGAGUGAUGAACAGCCCCAAUACGCUGUUCCUCCUGAAGUCACAUAUCCAGCUGCAGGGCCAGCAGUGAGAAACCAAUGGAGAGGAUAUCAGCAGCCACAGUACAACAGAGGCAGAGGCAGAGGGCGUGAGUACAACAGAGGGAGUGGAUACUACCAAGGAGGAAAUGGGAGUGAUGCUUGUCAUAUAUGUGGGCAGGUGGGACAUUGGGCAAGAACAUGUCCAGUGAAAUAUGAAGGGAACCCACGGUUCAUUGCUCCUCCAGGUAGGUUUCCCUACCCAAUGCAGCCCAGGCAGCCGCAGGGGAUGGGCCCACCCCAGCCUCCACCUCCACAAAUGCAGCCACCACAACAACAGAUGUCACUUGUGUCAAGGGAAAUAGAGUAUGGUGCCGACCAAUACGGUCAGUACUGACGAAGCCCAGAAGAUCCAGAAGCAUGUGUGGUUUACAGGACUCAGGCAGAACCAAUGGUGACCUGUACUGUGUCUGGAGUUGAAGUUGAGAUGAUGGUGGACUCCGGCGCAGCAGCCUCAUGCUUACGUAACCUAAAUGGGAAGGUGCCCCCACUCUCAGAGAAAACACUGAGAACGGUUGGAUAUUCGGGAAAGAAAGAGGUACAACGAUACACAAAACCAUUGGAGACCAUAUUGGGAAGACAACGCCUGUUCCACCAGUUCCUGUAUUCCCCUAAAUGUCCUGUCAACUUGAUGGGGAGAGAUCUAAUGACAAAAGUUGGAGCGGAAAUCAGGUGUUCAGCUGAUGGCCUCAGAAUCACGUUUAAAGGCCAACCACUCACUCCACAGUUUACGUCAGGAGAAAGGAUUCUCUUGAUGAUAAGCCCAGAGGAAACGGAAGAAAAGACACAAGUUUUCUGGACUAGGCUGUUACCGGGAUACAAAGAACAGCCGUCAAUCAAUAGAACAUAUCAAGACUGGAAGCCAUGGAUCAAUAGCCAAGGAGCAUAUGGUCCACCAAUUGAUCCACCCCAUUGCACAUAUAAUUACCUGAGAACACCUGAUGAAGAGUACACAGAGGCCUGGGAGCAAGAGAGAGAAGGCGUUCAGGAGCCGAUUAGGGUCACUGACAUUUAUGUGGGCACGGAGGGAGUUGCAGCACACUGUGAGCUCACCGAAACUCAAGCACAGUGGUAUGAGCUAAGUCAUGACAGUGAACCUCAUGUGACGCUGGCGAUAGCAGCAGGUCAUGAGGCUCGCUCCCUGGGGCCAAUGAUGAAGAGGGCAAAAAAAGUAACAUCCUGGUGUCCAACAGACUCCCCACUGCUUCAUUACAGCCCUGACAAAACAUUGUGGAGAAUAGCACAUUGCAGCAGAGAAAACAGCAUACUGGAGAAGCAAGAGCUGGAACGACAGCAUGGGAGAGAGUUGUCUGAUCAUCCAGCAGCAGAGGAGCUGCUCAACCAAAUGCCAGAACACCUAUGGGCGAAAGGAGAUUGGGAUGUCGGCUGCACUCAUCAUCAUUCAGUGCAUGUUGAAAAGAAUGCAGGUCAGCCCCCUGUAUGGAAGCCGCAGUACCGACUGAAAGAGGACGCUGUGGAAGGAAUAUCAGCCACUAUCGCUGGCCUACUGGAAGCAGGAGUGCUACGACCAGCGGAGUCUCACUGGAACACGCCCAUACUCCCUGUACCCAAAGCUGGAGGAAGAGGAUGGAGAAUGGUGCAUGACCUAAGAGCAGUAAAUCAAGCCACGAAGACGAAAGGCAUUGCAGUACCAAACCCUUAUGUAGCAUUACAAACGAUAAGCCCAGAACACCAAUACUUCACUGUAUUAGAUUUAGCGAACGCAUUCUUUUGCCUGCCACUUCAUCCCUCAAGUCAAGACAUGUUUGCAUUUACAUUCCAGGGAGAGAGAUUCACUUACAACAGAAUGCCUCAGGGAUACAAAGAUAGUCCCGGCUUAUUUAAUGCAGCAUUGAAGGAAGAUUUGAAAGACCUUCUGCUACCACAAGGAGUAGUUUUAAUACAGUACGUAGAUGACUUGUUGUUGGCAGCUCCCUCAGCGGAGAGCUGCUUAGCAGCAACUGAAGCGGUGUUGAAGAAAAUAGCGGAAUGCGGCUACAAGGUCAAGAGAGAAAAGACACAAAUUGCAAGACGACAAGUAUCAUUCCUGGGAAGAGUGCUAUCUGGGAACAAGAAGAAGAUCUCACCAGAGCAGAAAUCUGCAGCUUUGACCUAUGCCAAACCCAAAACCGUUCAAGAGAUGCUUGGAUUUCUGGGACUUACUGGCUACAGCCGGAACUACGUGCCAGACUAUGUGAAUCUCACCCAGCCACUCCGAAAUAUGCUGGCAAAAGUUGGAAACAGGAAUCUGAAGGCAGAGCUGAUCUGGACUGUGGAAGGAGAAGAAGCUUUCAUUCAAACUAAGCAAAGUUUGGCCCAUGCAGCUGCUUUAGCUUCCCCAGAUUAUGAAUCAGAUUUCCACUUAGAUGUAGGAGAAAAACAGGGGGUAGUAAAUGCAGUGUUGUAUCAGAUGAGGAGAGAGGGGAGAGCGGUUUUGGCUUAUCACAGUUCUAAAUUAGAUCCCAUAGAACUAGGACAAGUAGGCUGCACCAGACAUUUGGCAGCAAUAGCUCGAGCGGUACAGAAGACUGCAUACUUGGUAAUGUGUCAUCCUUUGAAGGUCCACACAGACCACGGUGUUGUAGCGUAUCUAGACACACAAGCUUUCACUUUGACAGCUAUGAGAGGGGCUAGGAUAUCUGGGAUAUUGACCCAGCCCCAUCUCUCUUUCACAUCAGAAGGUGUGAAUAUGACAUCUGGAUUGCCACCUACUGAGGGUGGUCAUGACUGUGCAGAAGUAGCUAGGAAGGAGACAAAGGUAAGAUCAGACUUGGGAGGUGACAGAUUGCAGGAUGCAGAUAUGACACUUUUCUGUGAUGGUUGUUGUUAUAGGGGUCCAACAGGGAACAUAGCUUCAUAUGCAGUGGUGGAACGGCUUCCUGAUGGAACCUUGGUGGAGUUAGAGGCGGCUGUUAUUCCGCAGCCUGCUUCGGCUCAGUUAGCAGAAGUGGUGGCACUGACGCGAGCACUUCAAUUAGCCGUGGGGAAGAAGGUAAACGUUUACACUGAUUCGGCUUACGCCCACGGUGCAGUGCAUGUGGAUGGACCUCAGUGGCUGAGAAGAGGGUUUAUGACCAGUUCGGGAGCUUUGGUGAAGCAUCAUGCUGCAUUGAAGGAUCUGUUGGAUUCUGUGAUGGGGCCAACACAAGUUUCAGUGAUAAAGUGCAGAGGCCACUCCAAGGAGGGUGGGCUGGAAGCUAAAGGUAACGACGCUGCCGACCUCGCAGCUAAGAAGGCUGGUGGAUAUAUUGGCGGUGAAAAGCAGAUGUUGGUAAGUGAUCAGAGUGAGCCGCAGCCUGCCCCGACGGAGAGUGACCUGAUAGUGAUGCAAAAGAAGGCUGGAGUGUAUGAACACUCUCAGUGGGUGGCUCAUGGAGCAACCUGCAAAGAUGGUUUGUGGAGGUCUCAUGAUGGACGGAUAGUAGCUCCUUCUGAGCUAAUGCACAUGUUGAUGAUCGAAGCGCAUGGUCCGACGCAUGAGUCUAAAAAGCGAACAUGUGCAGCACUGGAGAAGAUUUGGUGGCAUCCGUUUGCCAAAGAGAUGGUGGAAAACUUUGUUACAGACUGUGUAUCCUGUAAUGGCUUUAACAACAAACCUGUAUAUAGGUGUCCGAUGGGGAGGUACCCGGUGCCCCCUGCCCCAUUUCAGGAGAUUUGCAUUGAUUACACAGAUAUGGGAAUGGAUAACAGAGUGCGCGGGCUACGUUACAUGUUGGUGAUGGUGGAUCGGUUUUCACGGUGGGUAGAAGCAAUUCCUUGCCGGAAGGAAGAUGGUGCUACAGUGGUGAAGUGGCUCAAGAAUGAGCUGAUUCCCAGGUAUGGGUUACCAAAAGUUAUUCACUCGGACAACGGUUCACACUUUACGAAUGUACACCUAGCUGGUGUCGAAAAGUGUUUAGGAAUCCAACACAGGUAUGGUUCAGUUUAUCAUCCAGGGUCACAGGGGAUUGUGGAGCGAGCCAAUCAAACGCUCAAGAGGAAAAUUGCUAAGAUCUGUCACGGCACGUCCCUAAAAUGGCCUGACGCCCUUCCAUUGGCAUUGAUGUCUAUGAGAAACACUGAGCACAAUAGCACUCAUUUAACACCACAUGAAAUACUCACUGGGCGACCUAUGUCAGGUCCGCCGAGGUCCAGUAGCCAUGGACCUAGUCUGGAUUUGCUGAAACUAGAGAUUGAAGAGUAUACUAGAGCGCUAAGUAAGAUGUGCCAAGCUUUGUUUUCACAGGUGACGAACGCAGAGACAGCCGCCAGCCAAGGGAAGCAGGUUCCAGUCAUACCGCCAGGAAGCUGGGUGUGGAUUAAGGCUCAUAAACGCAAGUGGAGUGAUCCAAGGUGGACCGGUCCAUGGGAGGUAGUAUUGGCAACAUCACACUCGGUAAAGGUGAAAGGUAAAGCGGGAGCCACUUGGCAUCAUCUCACACAUUGUGCACCUGCUAAGGCACCAAGCCAGACCCUUGCGGAGACCCGAUUAAAUACCAGGCAAGUUAAUUCAGAGCCAAAAGACGCAGGAGGGGACAAAGCAGCAGAAAAUGUCUCGCCCACAGCGUAAGUAUCAGUUAGUGGGGGGAACAUGCAAGUCAGUGUUCAUUGUCUAUUUAAUUUCUUUGGUAGUAGGGGGUUCAAGUACAGCUCGGGGAAGUGCAGCUGUUCACACAGGUGAUGAUGACAAGACGUCUGUAAGUGAUCUAUCCAAUCCCAGUCGACAAGAUGUUUCCUUACCACCUAACAUCCAAGCAGCGAUUGCUCUCACGUUGACAUUCAAGGAAAAUAUAACUGCAUCUGUUCAAUUUGAUUAUUGUGAUAUUGCAGCCUGCGGUGUCCAAGACCUCAGGUUUUGGAGGUCGGACCAAUACUUGUGUUCCACCACCAACCAAUGUGGACCAGGAGUCAGGUUUGGUAAGCCAGUGGAGCAGUACGGCUGUGACUGCGAGGAGGCAGAAUGGAAGUUCGCACACACUGGUAGAUGGAAGUCAUCUAAAACUGGUCCUAAACCUGGGCUACAGACCCGUUUAACGAUGCGGAAAAACCGGUAUCCAGAUUUGGCUAAAUGUGGGGGAGGGUUGUGCAAUCCACUAAUAAUCACAUUGAAAAAUCCAGAAUUGGGGGACAGUGGACUAUACGUGUUGAAAGGAGGGACAUAUGAUAUUGAAAGCCCACAAGGGUUGUUUAAGAUUGUUGUUAAACCCUCUGCUAACAAACAGGAAUCCACUGCUGAUCAGGAUGGAGCUGAAACUGACACUUCUUGGGAAGGUGUGGUAAGACGGGAAACUGGAUUCUCGGAGUCUAAUCUAUGGCUCCAAUGGUGCUCUGCGGUUGCUGCUGCAUUCCCUGCAUUCGAGGACUCCUGCAGAGAUUGAUUGACACUGCCCUUAGAGAGACUAGCAUACAGGGAAAUCAAUUGCAACUAGAUGCUGAAGAAGGACAGUCACUGUUGGCGGAUACGUCCGUGUGAUGUUGGGUCGAGGGGUUAUUCAAGUGAUGCUCACAGUGAACUGUGAGCAAGGAGGGAAUUGUUGGGGUUUUAAGUAGAAGUGAAUGUCUAGUCAUAGAAUUUGUAGUACGUGUAAUGAUGUUUAGU